AAAACAUUUGCCUAUCUUACUAGUUCAAAUUUCAAACCUAAUAUUAUAUACCGUACAUAUUAGCAUAACAUUUUUAAAAGACAUUCCAUAUCAUCUGACCGGACAUCUCGUAAAAUAAUUAUUGGGUGUUUGCACGGAUUUGAUUUCAGCAAUUUUCGGAAGUACGGACUGCAGGCACUAAGUACAACUCUAUGAGCAGCGUUGAAAGCAGUUAAUGAUAGACGAUUGGAAUUCACUCCACUUUAAAGCAUAUUGUUGAUGUUGAUGCUGUUCAAUCUUAUACCGUGCCAACUGCUUUCAGAGGAUUAAGUUUUAAAACAGUUUAAUGCUUUUAUAUAUACAAAAAUUGAGGAAUGGAUGAAACACAAG